UAUUGCUUCUGAAUAUCCUACCCUGAAUGUACUUCUUGCCUUCAACCGUGAAAGUGUGCUGGAGAGUCUUGAACAUAAGAGUCACGUUACAGCCCUCGAUCCUUCUCAUCCGUGAGUUCCCUGCCUGCUCAGGAAUGCCUCAGAUGGCUGCCUCGGUAGGUGCCCAACAGAAGAGCAGAAGAAACUAAUGAGAAGGAGCAGGACUGUGUAGUGAAAGCACUUUCUGUCUGGAGAACUCUGGCUUUGCUUGCUGGAGAAG
rnacentral:lncRNA from 12 species